GAAAGGGAGAGAUGGAAAAUUAUCCAGACUGCUGAGAAGGAAUUCAGUCUGUGUGGGAGCCACACCUCCUGGCUCAACAGCAGAGGCGGGAAUGGCAUCCAUGACACACUGCAUUCUCCUAGGACCUCUGGUUUCCAGGAUAAGGGAGUAAUUUAGAAACAUCUUUCAUACCUGGAGCCCAAGACAUUCAACUCAUAUGAAAUAUGAGCAAUGGCAUAGUUGCCAGCGGGGACUCUUGGGGAGACUUGCCUCAAAUUAACUAGCCUGGUAGAACGACAUUUGGUGACUUUCACUCCAGUAUGUGGAGGUUGCGCAUCAUAGAUUGUGAAUUUGGUCCCCAGAAAGUUUGAUCUAUUGUCACAGAAAGUGCAAUUGAACACAUAGGCAAACAAGAAAAAUCAAGAACCAAUGAUGUCACAUGCCAGCACAACAUACCUCAACUUUCCAAUGAAGGUGCUACUCCCUUUUGAAACAUCAUCGGAAUUCAAAGAGAUAAUAUAAUCUGUGUAAGUAGGGCGUCGACACUUCCGUGCAGCAAGAAGAAACUUGCCAUCAUCUGUUGAGGCUGACAAGAUAGAAAAAUGCAGAAGACUUCAAUGUCAACAACUCAGAGAGGAAACCAAAGAAAAGCUGAACUUUCCUUAGCUAGAAGGAACCCCAACUCUCUACUAAUCAAACUAAUCUCGGUAAAGUAAAAAAAUAUGAAAGUCUGCAAAGAACAAAAGUUCAAUUCUCGACCUCGAUUUAAUCCAAGGUAAAGAUAAUAUAUUUGGCUGCUACGAUUUCGUUUGAUGUAACACUGAAAGAGGAAGUCCCUUGGGCCUGGCUGCAAAUGGAUAACCAAGGACUUUGACCAUUAGCUGGAUGCCAAAAGGCUGCAUGCAUCAAAGAUUAUAACCUCACAAGGAAAUUUUAAGAGCAUGGUUUUCCAGACAUAUCAUGAAGGACUCAACAGAAUUCAAAGUUUCUAGAAUCCGGGAUGCAAACUAACAGUAUUUGGAAACUAACAACUAUUUACAAGGAUGAGAGCAAGAGAGUCCAAAAUAUUUAGCGCUACAACUAGCUAAGACAGUCUCUUUUCUAAUCUAACUCUGUAUAUUCAGCA